GAGGAUGCGAGCGUUAUCCGGAUUUAUUGGGUUUAAAGGGUGCGCAGGCGGAAGAUCAAGUCAGCGGUAAAAUUGAGAGGCUCAACCUCUUCGAGCCGUUGAAACUGGUUUUCUUGAGUGAGCGAGAAGUAUGCGGAAUGCGUGGUGUAGCGGUGAAAUGCAUAGAUAUCACGCAGAACUCCGAUUGCGAAGGCAGCAUACCGGCGCUCAACUGACGCUCAUGCACGAAAGUGUGGGUAGCGAA
rnacentral:rRNA from 1 species